rnacentral:rRNA from 1 species
UAAGACGUACCACCCAAACGUUAUUCGGAUUCACUGGGCUUACAGAGUCCGUAGGCGGUCGAGAAAGUUGGAUGUGAAAUACCUCAGCUCAACUGAGGAAUUGCGUUCAAAACUACUUGGCUAGAGAGAUACAGAGGUGAGCGGAACUGAUGGUGGAGCGGUGAAAUGCGUUGAUAUCAUCAGGAACACCGGUGGCGAAAGCGGCUCACUGGGUAUCUUCUGACGCUGAGGGACGAAAGCUAGGGGAGCGAACGGGAUUAGAUACCCCGGUAGUCCUAGCCUUAAACGAUGAGCACUAGAUCGAAGGGACCUCCACAUCCUUUUGGUCGUAGGGAAACUGUUAAGUGCUCCGCCUGGGGAGUAUGGUCGCAAGGCUG